rnacentral:ribozyme from 1 species
UUUUUUUUUUUUUUUUUUUUUUUUUUUGGAAGACUGUUUCCCUUUAAACGAGUCUCUAUUUGAAAAGAAGAGACGGGAG